AUAAAACAGUACUUGACAUGGCAGUAUGUUCAGUUCAGGUGAGGCGUUUGUGUCGUGACUGACGGCAUCUACCUCUUUAACCAUGUAACAUCAGGAAUGUCAUUUUAAGCCUUAGCUGGUUUUCGACUGCCCUCCACUGGAAUGACUAUUUGCUAAAUCAGUGUAACCCAUUGAGCCAACACGUUU